rnacentral:rRNA from 1 species
UACGUAGGGUGCGAGCGUUGUCCGGAAUUAUUGGGCGUAAAGAGCUUGUAGGUGGUUUGUCGCGUCUGCUGUGAAAAUCCGAGGCUCAACCUCGGACUUGCAGUGGGUACGGGCAGACUAGAGUGUGGUAGGGGAGACUGGAAUUCCUGGUGUAGCGGUGGAAUGACGCAGAUAUCAGGAGGAACACCGAUGGCGAAGGCAGGUCUCUGGCCAUUACUGACACUGAGAAGCGGAAAGCAUGGGGAGCGAACAGG